rnacentral:lncRNA from 1 species
CUCAACUCUGUUUGCCGAGUAACUUCCCUUAGCAAACUUCAAUGCCACCGCAACACCUUGGCCACGCCCUCCACGCCCGUGGGGAUGAGGAAGGAACCCCAAGUGGGGGGCUGGUCCUGAGGCAUUGUCAACCUCCUUCUGAUUCUGAGGAUGGAAUUCUGGGACUCCCACACCCCCAGAGUCAAGAGCAGCUGUCAGGAGGGCCCUACAUAGAAUGUCUGACCUGGCAGCCAUUUGGGGGUAGGGCCAGUGAAGCCAAAGACCUAUGAGGACUUCCUUCAGCCCUGGGAUAAAGGCGAAGCUCCUUCUGUGAUACUCAAGGUCUUUCAGUGUCAUCCCCAAAUUGUCCUUCCAUAUGCCCCCUCUACCUGGCUGACUCCUGCUCCUCCGAGCUCCCCUGUCACCAUUGCUAGGAAGCCCUGUCUCAGUCUCUCCAGUUCCCUGUCCUGAGUCAGGCUUCCUGUGGGAUCCCAGCUUCCUCAGCAUCCCGGCCCUAGGUCAUCCUUGCCUGCUUAUGUGCCUGUUGUCCGCACAGAGGAGGACACCGUGUCUAUUUAGUCUCUAUAUCCCAGGGUCUGUACAAAGAAGUGCUCGGUAAAGCUUUGCUGAACUGAGGAGGGUAGACGGAGUGGCCACGGUGGGGACAUCAGUUCCUACCCCUUCGGCUCCUUUCGCGGGCUUCCGCCCCCUCUGCUGAGUCUCCUGUAGGGAAAGGUGCACAUGAAGAGUAGUUAGAGGCAGCCGAAAGGCCGAGAGCUACCACAAGGUAGAUGUGGGCUCCAGUCCUGUUCAGAUGUCAGCUGAUUUAGCGGAGCCGGAGGAUUCCUGUGUGUUGACGGGGGAUCCUAUUCCACCAGAGGAGCAGAGAGGGCGUGAGGAAUAAAUGAAAUAACGUGAGAAAAGCAGCAUCCAGAGGUCAGGUACCCACUUGCUCAUGAAAUUAUAGAAGUGUUAGAACUGCAGAAAGUGCAGAGAACCCAGAUGCCCAGGAGAAAUAGGCACUCAUUCUGUCCAAGGGACUGAGGCAGGGAAAGCUCUCAACUUGAGAGGACUUUUGAACUGGGCUUUGAAGGAUAAAUAGGAGUUGGGCUUUGGAGGAUAAAUAGGAGUUCCCCAUAAAUAGUCAGAGGAAAUUGAGGUGAGAAGACUGGGAGUGACACAGGGAGAGCAUCCCAGCAUCUACAUGGAACUACACUAAGCAGGAUUUGGGUUAAGAAGGAGGAGGGACUUCUCAUCCCAGAGCCUUGGGCAGAAUUCAAGUCCAGGAUUUGCCUAAAGGGUGUUCAUUUCUCCCCACAGCCUUGACCCAGGGCAGUGAUACCAAAUUGGAAAACAAGCCCCCUUUCCGGCCGGGAGCGACAGAAGGAGGCAGGCCCAUUUUCUAGGGCAGCCACAGAGCUGUGCCGCAGUCACGAUGGAGACCAUGAGGUAUGGUGCUGGCAGGACAACCAGGAGGGUCUCUGUGACAGACAGGAAGCUCCCGCCUCAGGUCUGCGCUCUCAGGCAGCCUUCCUGCCAUCUUGGCAGCUGGAGCUUGCAGACACAGAGCGGGGGUGUUUGUUUUCCUCCCACAGCAGCCUGCCCCUCCCCCCGCUCUCACACCCGGUUUUGGCUCCCAGGCUGGAGGUGCUGGGCGGAGCCCUGAGAGGCUAAGACCUGGUUUCUCGGCCUCUGACUGGCUGUGUGGUCCUGGACAGGUCCCUCACCUUCUCUGGGCUGCCCCUGCCUGCUCUGCAUAUUCGAGAAGUUGGGUUCCGAGACUUUGCUGGCUCUUCCACCUUUCACAUUUCCAGGUUCUGGGUCCCAUGAUGGGCAUCAUUUGAUGAGAAGAUGCCGCGAUCCAGGAAGAGGAUGAGAAAUUACCAGCCCUGAACCCUCCCGGCCCGAACCCAGAGCCAGAAAAAGUAGUAUGCGCUGAAGUGUCCAUAGAAAGCUCCUGGUCCAACUCCUCCAUUUCACAGUUGGGGAAACUGAGGCUGGAAGGGGGAGGAUGGAGGUGGUGAUUUGCCCGAUAUGCCCGAGGAGUGAGAGCCCAAGCCAGGACUGGAGCCCGGUCCCCUGGCCCCAGCCUCCAGCUACCAGGCAGAGCCCGGGUCGCCUAGGGAGCAGCGGGCGCCAGGAGGCCGGGAGGAGGCGGAGGAGCGGGGGCGCGCCCGGCCGCCCCGGCCCCGCGGGCCCCUUCCGGCCCCUCCCCCAGCCUGCGCACCGUCCCGCCACCUGCUCCCCGGUCCGCUGGGGCGGGGCCGCCGCCCCCCGUCUCCAUGGCAACGCGCGGCCCGGCCGGCCGCCCUGGCCUCGCUGCCGCCGCGCAGCCCAUCUGGCCCCAAGCCCGCCCCAGCUGGACCGCCCGAGGCCCCGUCGGCCGGGGGCCCCCACAGCCCCGCGGCGCCCGAGAGCAAGGCAGGAGCGCCGGGCGUCGGGCACCAGCGAUGCCAGCACCUGGGCUGGCUGCGAGGCUCAUCCCGAUGGAUCAGAAGCUGUGCUGCCCUCCCGGAUCCCCGAGUCUAGAGAGUAUCCUCCCCCCCCCCACACCCCCCCCCACCCAGCACAUUCGCUCAGGGCGGCAGGAGGAGCUCUCAGGAUUGGAGGCGAGCUCUCUGGAGCCAGCCACCCUGGAGGCGAAUCCCCAAGGAGGGUGACCCUGGGCAAUUUACUUAAGCUUUUACCCGUCUGAAAAAUGGAGGCGAGCACAGAACCUGGCUCUCUGGGUGGUUGUGAGGGUUAAAUGGGUCAAUAAAGAAAAAUACAUGGAGUGAGCACGCAAUAAGUAUCAGCUAUUAUUAUUACUGCAGGUGGCAAGUGCUGCAGAGAGGGCCAUGGAAGCCCGGAGUAAGGGUCCUAACCCAGCAUGGGGGCAGCAGGGGCCGCUUCCUGGAGGAGGCCGUGCUGGUUGGUGUCGGCGCAAAUAACAGUUAGCCAGGAAGCAGAAGAGAAGAGGGAGCAGCAGCAGCAAAGACGUAGAGAUGAAAAAUAGCGUGGGGGAGGGGGGGAAGACUUACAAAGCCCCUCAGUGUUGCUGGAGAGGAUACAAGAGCCUGGCUUUCAGUUGGAGGGCAGUGGCACGGGAGCCACUGAAGGGUUUUCACAGAGCCAAGACAUGUUCCUUGUUUUCCUAGAGAUCACUCUAGCCGCCAUACGUGCAGUGGCUUGGAGGGGCCAGCAUCCUUUUGAGAGAUGAUGAGGCCUAAACAAGGGGAGAUGCAAGGUCAGUGGUAGGUGGGGACAGAUUCAUGGCUGUUAAGGAAGCAGGUAUGGCAGGAUGGUGACCUAUGGGUUGGAUGUGGCUGGAGAGGACGGAGUUAAGGAGGGACAUGGGCACUCAGGUCGUUG